UGUGCUCAACCUCUUCACCAGGAUCCGGUA
rnacentral:piRNA from 1 species